UACGAAGGGGGCUAGCGUUGUUCGGAAUUACUGGGCGUAAAGCGCGCGUAGGCGGCUCGGAAAGUCGGUCGUGAAAUGCCGGGGCUCAACCCCGGGACUGCGUCCGAUACUCCCGAGCUGGAGGCAGGUAGGGGAGAUCGGAAUUCCUGGUGUAGCGGUGAAAUGCGUAGAUAUGCGGAGGAACACCGAUGGCGAAGGCAAUCCCCUGGGCCUGCACUGACGCUCAUGCACGGAAGCGUGGGGAGCAAACAGG
rnacentral:rRNA from 1 species